AGAGUUUGAUCAUGGCUCAGAUUGAACGCUGGCGGCAGGCCUAACACAUGCAAGUCGAGCGGAUGAGGGGUGCUUGCACCUCGAUUCAGCGGCGGACGGGUGAGUAAUGCCUAGGAAUCUGCCUGAUAGUGGGGGACAACGUUUCGAAAGGAACGCUAAUACCGCAUACGUCCUACGGGAGAAAGCAGGGGACCUUCGGGCCUUGCGCUAUCAGAUGAGCCUAGGUCGGAUUAGCUAGUUGGUGGGGUAAAGGCUCACCAAGGCGACGAUCCGUAACUGGUCUGAGAGGAUGAUCAGUCACACUGGAACUGAGACACGGUCCAGACUCCUACGGGAGGCAGCAGUGGGGAAUAUUGGACAAUGGGCGAAAGCCUGAUCCAGCCAUGCCGCGUGUGUGAAGAAGGUCUUCGGAUUGUAAAGCACUUUAAGUUGGGAGGAAGGGCAUUAACCUAAUACGUUAGUGUUUUGACGUUACCGACAGAAUAAGCACCGGCUAACUUCGUGCCAGCAGCCGCGGUAAUACGAAGGGUGCAAGCGUUAAUCGGAAUUACUGGGCGUAAAGCGCGCGUAGGUGGUUCAGCAAGUUGGAUGUGAAAGCCCCGGGCUCAACCUGGGAACUGCAUCCAAAACUACUGAGCUAGAGUAUGGUAGAGGGUGGUGGAAUUUCCUGUGUAGCGGUGAAAUGCGUAGAUAUAGGAAGGAACACCAGUGGCGAAGGCGACCACCUGGACUGAUACUGACACUGAGGUGCGAAAGCGUGGGGAGCAACCAGGAUUAGAUACCCUGGUAGUCCACGCCGUAAACGAUGGGUACUAGGUGCUUGGGGGAGCGACCCCUUGAGUGCCGGCGCUAACGCAUUAAGUACCCCGCCUGGGGAGUACGGCCGCAAGGCUGAAACUCAAAGGAAUUGACGGGGGCCCGCACAAGCGGUGGAGCAUGUGGUUUAAUUCGACGCAACGCGAAGAACCUUACCUAGGCUUGACAUACACGGGAAACGCCUGAGAAACCAGGCGCCCUCUUCGGAGUCCGUGUACAGGUGCUGCAUGGCUGUCGUCAGCUCGUGUCGUGAGAUGUUGGGUUAAGUCCCGCAACGAGCGCAACCCCCGUUCCCAGUUGCCAGCGAGUAAAGUCGGGGACUCUGGGAAGACUGCCGGUGCCAAACCGGAGGAAGGUGGGGACGACGUCAAGUCAUCAUGGUCCUUACGUCUAGGGCUACACACGUGCUACAAUGGUCGGUACAGAGGGUUGCCAAGCCGCGAGGCGGAGCUAAUCUCACAAAACCGAUCGUAGUCCGGAUCGCAGUCUGCAACUCGACUGCGUGAAGUCGGAAUCGCUAGUAAUCGUGAAUCAGAAUGUNCACGGUGAAUACGUUNCCCGGGCCUUGUACACACCGCCCGU
rnacentral:rRNA from 1 species